UGCCUUGCAGUGUUGCCCAUCCCUGUGUGGUUGGUGGAUGUGGUGUCAGAUAAGGCAUACAGCAACUCCAUAGGUGGCAUUCGGGGAAGGGUUUUCCCAUACCCUCUCUGAUGACCACCUUAUGUACACAG